rnacentral:rRNA from 1 species
CCUACGGGUGGCAGCAGUGAGGAAUCUUGGUCAAUGGACGAGAGUCUGAACCAGCCAAGUAGCGUGAAUGAUGAAUGCUCUCUGGGUUGUAAACUUCUUUUAUAUGGGAAUAAAAUGUUCCAAGUGUGGGAUUUUGUAUGUACCAUAUGAAUAAGGAUAGGCUAACUCCGUGACAGCAGACGCGGUAAUACGGAGGAUACGAGCGUUAUCCGGAUUUAUUGGGUUUAAAGGGAGCGUAGGUGGAUUGUUAAGUCAGUUGUGAAAGUUUUCGGCUCAACCGGAAAAUUGCAGUUGAAACUGGCUGUCUUGAGUACAGUAGAGGUGGGCGGAAUUCGUUGUGUAGCGGUGAAAUGCUUAGAUAUCACGAAGAACUCCGAUUGCGAAGGCAGCUCACUGGACUGCAACUGACACUGAGGCUCGAAAGUGUGGGUAUCAAACAGGAUUAGAUACCCCAGUAGUC